CGAGAAUCCAUAACAGAUCAAAUAUCCAAUUCUACCAUUUUAUACUUUUCUCUUUUUUCAUUUUGAAGUAAAUUUAAUACUGGAUUGAUGAUGUCAAGGAACCAAAACCUCUCUUUUGCUUUUAAAUACAAAUACUAUUAUGGCUGAACAAAAAAUUAAUAAAAUUAAGACCUAACCCAAAUCCAUAAACACUAUCCUCACCGCUUCAAUACCAUAUUGAGGUGUUUGUCUCAAUAAAGAUACAACCAUUUGCAAUCACAUUUUAUUUUAUAAACUAAUUAAUUCAAGUCUUCUCACAAAAAUGCAUCCAUGAAGAUUUAGCAUACGAGGGGGAAACCAGACCGAAAACCCGACGGAAAAACAUAAACUCGAACUUAAAAGUAAAAUCGCACUGGUGACCCUGAACAGAAAACCAAUCGGCGACCUCGAAUUUCGAUUUCGAUGUUGCUGUUUUCCGGUGAUUUAAGGUACUUGAUUUUUUUUUUGGGGCCAAAUUCGGACUGUUUUUCAAGUGAUUUCGGCAGCUAUUUGUUUUUGGAUUUAUGUUGCGUUUGAACUCCUAUUUCAGACCGACUUUAAGAGAAAGGGAUCAGUAGUGAUGUUAAGAGAUGAGGAGAUAUGGGUAAUGGCUGAAGCUUCUUCUUGAAGAAAAAGAGAAGAAUUGAUGUGAGAGGGUCUUUUUGGGUGCUGCCGCUGAUUUCCUUUUUUGGUUAGUAGAGC
rnacentral:lncRNA from 1 species